AUGUGUACAUUUGAGAUAUUGUCACCUAGAGUUGAUAUUGUAAAUUAUCUUGUUCCUAGGUGGCAUGUUAGCUCUACAAGUUGCAAUUUGCUUGUGUUUGGUGUGAAGAUGAUGUUGGAUAUCAUUGUUAUCUACCAACGGAAAUUAUUUCCAAGUACUUCUUGUCUUUUGACAAUUGGUACUCACUUAUGUGUGGUAGAGAUUAUUGAUCAUCUUCAUGUUGGCGUUUGCUUUUGUUUUCCUUAUCUCUUGCCAAGUUUGUGUCAACUCCCAUUGCCUUCCGUGCCACUUGAGGAUCUUGUUGUUCUCUUGAUCAUGUCUAGUGUUUUCCUUGAUAUAGUGAACAUGGUGAUCCUACCUUGUGCAUUUUGUAUUCAAAUGCAAAUUCUCUAUAAUGCACAACUCGUGGGGGAGCUAUCCUAUUUUCUAUAA
rnacentral:rRNA from 1 species